GAACUUUCCAGAGAUGGAUUGGUGCCUUCGGGAACUGUGAGACAGGUGCUGCAUGGCUGUCGUCAGCUCGUGUUGUGAAAUGUUGGGUUAAGUCCCGCAACGAGCGCAACCCUUAUCCUUUGUUGCCAGCGGUCCGGCCGGGAACUCAAAGGAGACUGCCAGUGAUAAACUGGAGGAAGGUGGGGAUGACGUCAAGUCAUCAUGGCCCUUACGACCAGGGCUACACACGUGCUACAAUGGCGCAUACAAAGAGAAGCGACCUCGCGAGAGCAAGCGGACCUCAUAAAGUGCGUCGUAGUCCGGACUGGAGUCUGCAACUCGACUCCAUGAAGUCGGAAUCGCUAGUAAUCGUGGAUCAGAAUGCCACGGUGAAUACGUUCCCGGGCCUUGUACACACCGCCCGUCACACCAUGGGAGUGGGUUGCAAAAGAAGUAGGUAGCUUAACCUUCGGGAGGGCGCUUACCACUUUGUGAUUCAUGACUGGGGUGAAGUCGUAACAAGGUAACCGUAGGGGAACCUGC
rnacentral:rRNA from 1 species